CUGCCUAGUGAGUCAGCAAGAAAUAGCUAAACGAUUGGAAAGGAAAUAGUUGAAGUUUAGUUGUGGCGAAAUAGGAGAUUAAGUCUCAUACCGCAUGAAAAGAAUUGGCCUAUCACUAUAAAAUUCUACAGCUGAUCCUAAUACGACUACGGU